rnacentral:RNase_P_RNA from 1 species
GCGGAUGGCUGGAUGACUGCACAAGUGUGAGGAAAGUCCGGACUCCAGGAAGAAAUGGCGCCGGUUAAUGGCCGGCUGGGGUAACCCAAGGGAAAGCGCCACAGAAAAUAGACCGCCCCGUAUGGGGUAAGGGUGAAACGGUGGGGUAAAAGCCCACCGCCUUGUUGGUAACAGCAAGGGCACGGCAAGCCCCGCCAGGAGCAACGCCAAAUAGGGGUCACGCGGCGCAAGCCGGGUUCUUCCGCCCAGUGAUCCGGGUUGGCAGCAAGAGCCUGUUAGUAAUAACAGGCCCAGAUGAAUGGUUAUCAGAGGCCGCAAGGCCCGAACAAAAUCCGGCUUACAGGCCAUCCGCACCC